UCCGGUUUGGCACCGGCAGUCCCCCGAGAGUCCUCAGCAUUACCUGUUAGCAACACGGGUCGGGGGUUGCGCUCGUUGCGGGACUUAACCCAACAUCUCACGACACGAGCUGACGACAGCCAUGCAGCACCUCUACAGCGGUCCCCGAAGGGAAGGCGAGCUUUCCACCGGCUUUCCCCAGCAUGUCAAGCCUAGGUAAGGUUCUUCGCGUUGCGUCGAAUUAAACCACAUGCUCCACCGCUUGUGCGGGCCCCCGUCAAUUCCUUUGAGUUUCAACCUUGCGGUCGUACUCCCCAGGCGGGGUACUUCCUGCGUUAGCGCCGGCACCCAGAGGGUCGCUCCCCCAGGCACCUAGUACCCAUCGUUUACGGCGUGGACUAC
rnacentral:misc_RNA from 1 species